GUUUGAUCCUGGCUCAGGACGAACGCUGGCGGCGUGCCUAAUACAUGCAAGUCGAACGAGAGCGACCGGUGCUUGCACUGGUCAAUCUAGUGGCGAACGGGUGAGUAACACGUGGGUAACCUGCCCAUCAGAGGGGGAUAACAUCCGGAAACGGAUGCUAAAACCGCAUAGGUCUUCGAGCCGCAUGGCUUGAAGAGGAAAAGAGGCGCAAGCUUCUGCUGAUGGAUGGACCCGCGGUGCAUUAGCUAGUUGGUGAGGUAACGGCUCACCAAGGCCGUGAUGCAUAGCCGACCUGAGAGGGUGAUCGGCCACAUUGGGACUGAGACACGGCCCAAACUCCUACGGGAGGCAGCAGUAGGGAAUCUUCCGCAAUGGACGCAAGUCUGACGGAGCAACGCCGCGUGAGUGAAGAAGGUUUUCGGAUCGUAAAACUCUGUUGUUAGAGAAGAACAAGUGCUAGAGUAACUGUUAGCGCCUUGACGGUAUCUAACCAGAAAGCCACGGCUAACUACGUGCCAGCAGCCGCGGUAAUACGUAGGUGGCAAGCGUUGUCCGGAUUUAUUGGGCGUAAAGCGAGCGCAGGCGGUUCCUUAAGUCUGAUGUGAAAGCCCCCGGCUCAACCGGGGAGGGUCAUUGGAAACUGGGGAACUUGAGUGCAGAAGAGGAGAGUGGAAUUCCAUGUGUAGCGGUGAAAUGCGUAGAUAUAUGGAGGAACACCAGUGGCGAAGGCGACUCUCUGGUCUGUAACUGACGCUGAGGCUCGAAAGCGUGGGUAGCAAACAGGAUUAGAUACCCUGGUAGUCCACGCCGUAAACG
rnacentral:rRNA from 1 species